GGGGAGACGGGCAGAGCCUGGUGCGUCUCCGCGGGCGAGUGGAGGAAUCCUAGGGUGUGCCUGGAGGUGGCGGCGCGUGCCGGCGCGGGCGGGCGCGGGGGUGAGCGCGGCAAGGAAACAUCUCUGGAUUCAGAAUCAGAGGCAGCACUUCAAGUCUCGGUUCUACCACCUUCUGGCCACAGGAUCUGAGAACGGACGGUGAUUUUUAAAAAUGAUGAUCCAGAGCUUGAAGUCAUAGAACAGAUCCAACACUAUUGGCCUGAGCAGCCUUCUUACAUUAGGGGCGAGCAUGACCCACCCAGAAGGGCCAGAUCCAGAAGGCACAUUUCUGAGGCAACUCAGUGGGCUGGGAGAGGCGCCCUGCUGCCCCCCAAGGGGUGCUGAGGCUGUCGCUUGCCUGUAGUCUCUUUGAUGGCUUUGUGCUC